rnacentral:rRNA from 1 species
AGAGCGAACGCUGGCGGCAGGCCUAACACAUGCAAGUCGAGCGCCGUAGCAAUACGGAGCGGCAGACGGGAGAGUAACACGUGGGAACGUACCCUUUGGUUCGGAACAACCCAGGGAAACUUGGGCUAAUACCGAAUAAGCCCUUACGGGGAAAGAUUUAUCGCCGAAGGAUCGGCCCGCGUCUGAUUAGCUAGUUGGUGGGGUAACGGCCCACCAAGGCGACGAUCAGUAGCUGGUCUGAGAGGAUGAUCAGCCUCAUUGGGACUGAGACACGGCCCAAACUCCUACGGGAGGCAGCAGUGGGGAAUAUUGGACAAUGGGCGCAAGCCUGAUCCAGCCAUGCCGCGUGGGUGAUGAAGGCCCUAGGGUUGUAAAGCCCUUUCGGCGGGGAAGAUAAUGACGGUACCCGCAGAAGAGCCCGGCUAACUUCGUGCCAGCAGCCGC